UACGAAGGGGGCUAGCGUUAAUCGGAAUUACUGGGCGUAAAGCGUGCGCAGGCGGUUGUGCAAGACAGAUGUGAAAUCCCCGGGCUCAACCUGGGAAUUGCAUUUGUGACUGCACGGCUAGAGUGUGUCAGAGGGGGGUGGAAUUCCACGUGUAGCAGUGAAAUGCGUAGAGAUGUGGAGGAACACCGAUGGCGAAGGCAGCCCCCUGGGCCAAUACUGACGCUCAUGCACGAAAGCGUGGGGAGCAAACAGG
rnacentral:rRNA from 1 species